rnacentral:snoRNA from 1 species
CAUAAAGAUGACAUUACGCUGUGCACCAGUCAGAAUAUUAUGAUCGAUCCAGUAUACCCAAAAACCUGAGA